ACCCUUCUAUCCCAGUUGGAGUUACCAACCAGGACAAAAGAUUUACUCCCGGUUGGUAAUUCCAACCGGGAUAAAAGGGUGAAGCUUUUGUCCCGGUUGGAACAUCCAACUGGGACUAAACUACCACCGGGAUAAAAGAGUUGUUUUUUUGUCCCGGUUGGAAUUUCCAAUCGGGAUAAAAGGAAAUGCGUGGCUCGAGGCUAUCACUGGUGCCUGCUCCCCUCUCCUCAUCCUCAUCCAUUCUUAUCUCCUCCUCCAAUUCUUUUCCUCUCCUCCUCUCCAUCUUUCUGUUCCUCCCAGCACUAAGUACUCCUCUCCCUUUCUUUCUUCCAGGCACUGGCGGGCACGGGCACGGGGGCGCGGCAGUGGCGAAGGGUGGAGGCGGGCGGCACGGGGGCACGGUGGUGGUGGCACGAGGGUAGGGUGCGGUGGCGGCGGAGGGUGG
rnacentral:lncRNA from 1 species